CCUACGGGCGGCAGCAGUGGGGAAUAUUGCACAAUGGGCGCAAGCCUGAUGCAGCCAUGCCGCGUGUGUGAAGAAGGCCUUCGGGUUGUAAAGCACUUUCAGCGGGGAGGAAGGCGUUAAGGUUAAUAACCUUGGCGAUUGACGUUACCCGCAGAAGAAGCACCGGCUAACUCCGUGCCAGCAGCCGCGGUAAUACGGAGGGUGCAAGCGUUAAUCGGAAUUACUGGGCGUAAAGCGCACGCAGGCGGUCUGUCAAGUCGGAUGUGAAAUCCCCGGGCUCAACCUGGGAACUGCAUUCGAAACUGGCAGGCUAGAGGCUUGUAGAGGGGGGUAGAAUUCCAGGGGUAGCGGUGAAAUGCGUAGAGAGCUGGAGGAAUACCGGUGGCGAAGGCGGCCCCCUGGACAAAGACUGACGCUCAGGUGCGAAAGCGUGGGGAGCAAACAGGAUUAGAUACCCGUGUAGUC
rnacentral:rRNA from 1 species